UUGUAGCUAGUUACUCCUUUCCCUAAACUUGUCAUUAUAUUUUAAAUGCAAUUAAUUUAAAUCCGUUUUAAAUAUGCCUUCAAUAUCAUAUUGAUAUUGAUAUACUGAAAAAAUGUAUUUAAAUAGUGUAUUAAAUAUCAAUCUCUACAUAAGUAAAAAUAUCUUUGGGUACAACGAUUAUAGCAAAAAAAUAAUUCGAUCGCUCCUUCAAUAAAAGAUCAAGAAAACCAUAUCAUGUCAACAUGCUAUUUUGAAAGAUGGAGGAUCGAGACAUUAUGUGUUCAUCAUUGUUCAUAUUUUCAAGCGCCAUUUUAUUUAGAAAAUAAUGGUUUUGUGCGGAAUACGUAUCAAGCACUACGUCCAUCCAUCGACCUAAUCGAUUGAGCGCACUUCUGCUUAAUGGCUACGUCAACAAACAAAACUGCCGUAUUUGGAGUGAAGCUAACCCUCAAGUGUAUAUCAAAACACCGUUACAUGCAGAAAAACUAACAGUUUGGUGCGCUUUUUGGGCUGGUUCUGGGCUCAAUGGACCAUACUUCUUCAAAAACGAUGAUGGCCAGAACUUUACAGUCAUCGAAAAUUGAUUAUUGACAAGACAACACUUGUUUGAAUUUCUCGGGAACCAAGGAUGCUGCUAAAAUUUAAAGCACAUAAAACCCAAAAUGCUUUUUAUAGUGCCAACAGCUGGAUGCUCCAUUCGACAUGUAUGCUGCCUUUGAAUGUGUACUGGAGCCGAGAAAUAUUAAAGUAAGCCCAAAAUUAUUUUAUUUAAACGAUCAUAUACCUAUAUCUUAUGCUUAGGUCAAAUAUAUAUUAAGUUGAGGUUACUUUCAAGUUAUAUGUUAAUAAAACAUCCAUGCACACACUCUUUGCC